rnacentral:lncRNA from 1 species
AAGGAUUUUUUGAGGACAUGAGAAAGUAGUGAGCCAGUGGAUAGACAAAUGGGCAGAAAUACACAAGAAUGAGCAACAGAAUGGCACAGAAUGGCAGUAAGGCUACUACCACCCCAGUGAUGACAGAAUGCUUGGUGCAGGGUCAGAAGGCAGGUGAAGAUAAAUGGGGCACCUGGGCUGAGGCUGUGACAGAAUCACUAUUAGCAUGUUUCUUUAUCUCACGCUGGUGCCGUGUUCCCUCACUCCUCACAGACCUCCGAUCAGAAUCGACCCAUCUGCUCUCAGCUUCCGUCACCUGAGAAGAGCCGAGAACAGCGAGAGCCACGGGGCAAACGCACCGGGCCCCGUUUCGCUGCCGUAGCCUCCCCUUCGGCUCCGAUCUCACUGACACAUUAUCAAUACCUGGCUUCGCGUGCACCAUGAAAAAUACAUGCUUUGAAAUGCAAUUUAAAAGCCAUUUAGGCAGUACACUGGCUCAGCGCCUGAAGGGGCCCGAGAGAAGACUUCCCAGGGCGUGUUUUCACUCGACUGAGCCGAGCACACGUGCUAAACGACGCAAGAUGAUUCCAGCGCCUGUAACCGAGCACGUUCUCCGGUUCACUGUUCUCGCGGGUCGGCUCCUCAGGGCAUCUGAGCAGUCUCAGGGGGCCAGCCGGAUCAGCCACAGCCCGGGAAAGCAGGCCCCUGGCAUCUGUCUCAUCCCGAUCCCGCUGCCACCCCCACAGACUCCCUCCACAGGAACCCCCCGCUCAGUCCUGCCAGGCAAGCCGGCAUCAAACACACAGUACAGGACCAACAGAACCUCGCUGUCAUCAGGACGAUGGUGAGAGGUUACUAAAAACCUCUCGAUGUUUCAGUCAGUAAAAUUAAAGGCACGUAACUCUGCUUAUGUGAGCACAGUAAUGUGCACAAAUUGUGCUGGGCAUAUUUUGCCUAAUAAUAAUAUAUUUGUACAGGUCAUCUAAUGUGCUCCGUUGUCAGAACAAAGGAACUUCACUCGUAUAAUUUAAAUCCGACCAGCUUGCUUGUAAUUCAAUGAUGGCUAUUGCUUUUGUUUGACUGUAUUUAUAGCGGUUAAGGAAGCGCCCCCGUAGUCAGAAGGUUGCCGGUUCGAAUCCUGAUCAGCCAAGGUGCCACUGAGGUGCCACUGAGCAAAGCACCGUCCCCACACACUGCUCCCCGGGUGCCUGUCAUAGCUGCCCACUGCUCACUCAGGGUGAUGUGUUAAAUGCAGAGGACAAAUUUCACUGUGUGCAUCGUGUGCUGUGCUGCUGUGUAUCACAUGUGACAAUCACUUCACUUUCAAUAGUAUUUUCAUUUCAUAACACUCACAAAACCUGCAACAACCAAUAAAACCAAUAAGAUCAGCUACA